rnacentral:rRNA from 1 species
UACGGGGGGAGCAAGCGUUGUUCGGAUUUACUGGGCGUAAAGGGCGCGUAGGCGGUCAGUGCAAGUCAGUUGUGAAAUCUCCGGGCUUAACUCGGAAAGGUCAACUGAUACUGCUCGACUAGAGUGCGGAAGGGGCAACUGGAAUUCUUGGUGUAGCGGUGAAAUGCGUAGAUAUCAGGAGGAACACCAAUUGCGAAGGCGGUUCUCUGGGACGGUACUGACGCUGAGACGCGAAAGCGUGGGGAGCGAACAGG